UGUGUUUUUUGGUUUUCGCUUCUGGGUUUUCAUUUCAUUCAUUCUCCUUUUUGGGUUUUCAUUUCGUUCGUUCUUGUAUGAGUAUUAAUGUCCUGGAGGAGUAGUUACUCAAGAUGGACAUUGUUUAAAUACUCGUGUCUUCAAUAUUUGGUUGCAGGAUUAACGAAAUCAAAUUUCUAUUUAAUAAGUUUCGAGUGUUAAAUUGGAAUCUCUCUAUUGAAUGCGAUCUGCACUUUGUGUCAAACAAAAAUUUGUACACACACACAUAUUUGCAUAUAUUGUCCAUGCUUAUACACAUUAUAUAGUUACUGGGUUUUGUAUUUAGUAGUCGAUUAUAUGGUUUUGCGGUUCUAUUAUAAUUAUGCAAUCCUUUGUUAUUAUUUUGAGUUCUUUUUCUUAAAUUUGUUGUGAACAUGUGAUAUUUAAAUUUGAUAUAAUUAUGAUUUUCGUUUUUAUUAGUUUCACCUUUAUAUUUGUUCUUCACUUGGAACAGAUGAGACAUGUCCAUUUUGCAUUGUCAAGUUUGUGUAAUGAUUGUCUUGUUAUGAGUAUGUUAAAAUUGUGUUUCCAUGGAAUGAAUAAACUUGUAAUUACUUGCACAAAAUUUAAUGAAAAGUCAUGCUAUCAUUGGGAUAAUCUAUUCUAAUUUUACACUUGUGUUAGAAUUACAUGAAUAAUUGUAUAUUCUUGGACUGACGCUUCAUGAAAUUGUAGCUAGCUAUCCUUUUCAUCACAAUGCUUGUGUACUUUCACAUCAAGGAUGAAAAGAAUGCUUCAAGUGGUGAAAAUAGUCUUUUACUAUAGUUCACCAGCUUUCUGUCCAAGUUGAUAUUAAUAUUAAUGAGUGAGACAAUUGCAGUUAGCUUAGAUUCAGUAGUCUCAUAAUAGAGAUAUCUAUUGCUAAUCAAAUACACCUAAAGGUUUAGGAAAUGAAGUGAACAAGAGUUCAGUUAAAUUUCUAAUUCCAUAAUUUUUUUUUAAACUAUUAGAAUCUACAUAAAAUUCAUUGGCUUCUUAACUAUAAUAUAUUGUAAUUGCAUUUGAGAUUGAGUUUUUCUCUCAACUGGACGAUUACAAAAUUUAUAUUUUGUAAGCUUUUUGAAUUAUCAGUUUUGUAUGUAUAAAAGUUGAUGCAUAGCUAAUCAUGAAAAUAAUUUGUGUGCAUUGGUGACUAAGUUUUCUGUCAAUUGGAUAAUUACUGUGUUGGAUGAUGGGAAUGAAACGAAGGAAAACAGUUUCAUCUAUGUAAGAUUUUAGCACUAUUUAUUUUGCUAUUAGAGAUAAGUAAUCUUCUUUAAAUAAUGUGAAUUUUACCUUCUAUUAGUAGAAUUUUAUUUGAACUACUAAUUUUUUUUUUUUAAGUGCGUCGAAUAAUAUAUUAUGAUAUCUAGCAAAUUCUGAUAUUAGCUUUGAUUUUGUCAGACAUAUGAAAAAAAAGGAAAAUUAAAAGAAUUGUUUGAUUUCACUGGUGAUGAAUGGAACUUGAAGCAUGCUUGGUUAAGCUUAAAUGUAAUUAUUAUGGUUCAUGGUCGACAUUGCCAAUAAAAUUUCUUUUUUCUAUUUGUUUCUAUUUUGAAUUUUCCACCUAGCAGAUUGAGCCAAUCCCAAUUUGAAAUUUGCGUCCUCAGUUUGGUUAUACAUUCGUCUAUCUUUCUUGAUUUCUUUACUCUUUUUCACUUGUAGGUUUUAUGUUUUAGUGUUUUGAGGAUCUAUCCUACGCUAUUUAUUCAUGAAGCCAUAAUGUUUUCUCCCUUUUACCCUUCAAUCUCAUUAUAUGAAUUCCUAAAUUGGGACCACAAUGUUUAUUACAUAUGGAUACAAAAUAUCUCUUUUGGGAAAGAAUGGUGUGCUACAAAACUAGUUUUGUACAAACCUUAAUUUCCUCUCUCGACAUUAGAAAAAAGGCAAAACAAAACUCUAAGCAAAUUCAAGUCGAUGGUUAUAAUUGUGUCUUCGUCCUUUUGUGAUUUGCAUUAGCCUUUGUAAAUGUUGCUGCUAUCUGCUCAUUCACAUCGUCCUUUGUACAUCUCGCUUCGGUUUGCUGCAUAUUCUGAUAUCGAUACUCACAAAUAAUGAGAUAUACGAACUUAAACUUUUGCUUUAGCUUAUAGUUUUCCCCUCUUACUAACAAGUUCUAUAUUAUUCAUUAAAUAUCUCUCCAAUCGAACCGUCAUCCUCGUGUAAUGUGGAGUGAUUUUCGAAGUCUAUCACUCCUUCAAUUUCGGCUUAACAUUUAUCCAAGGUUCUAUUUCUUGUAAAUUGGUUGAAUUUUUAGAAUUUGUGGUUUAGUUAUUUUGAUUUCAUUACUAAUAAUUGAUAUACUUAUUCAUGCCAUAUUUAUGUUGUUUUUCCCAAAUUAUUCAUUCACGGUUAUGCUCACAGAAUUUCUUUCAUUCUGGCUUAGUUAGUUACCUCUUGAAAUAGCCUUGUUUAUUAUAAUUUUUCCCAAAUUGUAGCAAAAUAAGUUUUCCUAGGCUGCAGUAUUAUUUAUGUUUAGAUCAUUACUUUUUGAUAUUCUACUGUUGGCUUUUUGUAUUUUUGUAUUUAUUAAUUUUAGUACUUAGAGAGGCAAAAUCUGACUCUAUAUGAGAAGGUCACGGUGGACGUGGAAAUGGGCAUGGUUGUGGAAGUGGACAUUGCUACAUCAGAGACUCAAGCAACAACAAGAAUUCUUAUGGAAAUAUGGAAAUUUCAGAUAGUCAAGGUGCAUCUGGAAAAGCUCAUACCAGAAAGCCUUUUGAAAGAUGCGGUGGCUAUGGUAAACUUUGUAAUCCUUGUGGAGGCGGUCACUGAGGUGGUUUAAACAAUGGUGAAGUGGGGGAAGGUGAACAAGAAAGGCUACGUCAGGUUUUUGAUCACCGUAGUGCCUUGGGUAGGGAGUUACCGAAGAAGUAAUCAAUGAAGGUGAGAACAAUCUGAAUGCUGAGAAGAACUCAGGAGAGGAGGAUGCCACACAUGGGAACAAGGAAACUUCUACCAUUGAAAUUGAAAGGAACCUGAGCACAUAAAAAUUAAUUCAUGAGUCCAUUUUUGUUAUGGUAGUAGUCCAGUAUUUACAUAACGUCUUGCAAGAUGACUUUAUUCUUCUUUUGCAAGCUAAUUUCAAUUUAUCAUUUAAUAAUAACCUGUUCUCUUUCUUUUAGCUAGAGUAGAUGUCACACGGGAGAAUAUUUGACAUUAGUGACGAAGUUCCUAUAACCUGUGAAGAUAAUUUUGUAGAUAUUUUCAAAAAGUACCAUUAUCACUUGUAGCUAUUUUGUAGAUAUUUUCAUUUGUGGCUAUUUUGUCACUAGUCUAUCUUACUUUUUUUGAAAGGUAAUCACAGGAAGUGUCGACAGUCUGUCUUACUAACAAAUCUUUUGUCAGAAUUAUUUGGUGACGCCAAUAUUGAACUCCUGUUGUUUCAUAUAAAAACUUUCUUUGCAAUUUGAAUUUUGAUGUUAGAGUGCUACAUCCCAUCGAUUUCUUCUUGUUUCAUAUUUGAUACAUGUAGUUUUUAAUAAUAUUAUAUUCUUUGGAUGCUUCAUGCUUGAUAAUUAUAUUAUGGUAUUGCUACCUCCAGGAAUGGAAUCCCAUAUGCUUUCUAUUUUGUUUUGCAUGCAUGAAAUUGAAAGCGUAACUAUUGUAUGAAACUGGAGGAGAAUAUCAUAAAGUCAACCUUUGGGACAUUGACAACCACUGCCAUACAGGCAUUCCUUAUUUCGAGUUGCUCAAGCAAUAACGCCUAACUCGAAAUGUGGAUUUACUCCAAGCAACUGCACUUUGUUGGUUGUCGUCUCCACCUUUAGAUAUUGAGGUAUAUCGUAUUUCUAUGUGUCAUGUUUUGAUAUCAGAGAAAAUUUUCAUGAAUUUAUAUACAAAUAAAACAAAAUUGAGAUUCUAUUUGCAGAUUGAAGAAAAUUUUCAUAUAUCACAAACACUGCACUUUCUUGGUUGUCGUCUCCACCUUUAGAUGUUGAGAUAUAUCUUAUUUCUAUAUGUGUCCUGUUUUGAUAUCAGAGAAUAUUUUCAUGAAUCUAUAUACAAAUAAAACAAAACUGAGAUUCUAUUUGCAGAUUGAAGAAAAUUUUCAUAUAUCACAAACA